rnacentral:tRNA from 1 species
CGGAGGUGUGGCCGAGUGGUUUAAGGCAACGGUCUUGAAAACCGUCGAAGGGGAGACUCUUCCGUGAGUUCGAAUCUCACCGCCUCCGCCAU